rnacentral:snRNA from 1 species
GUGGAAAAGAAUCCACCUGCCAAUGCAGGAUCAAUACAGGGAAGAUCAGCAUGGCCCCCAGGUAAGGAUGACAGGCAAAUUGGUGAAAGCAUUCCAUAUUUU